CUGGCCUUAAAUUCCACACAUGCCUUUGAUUUACUUGAGAACACAGGGGUAUGUUAUCUUAGAGCUCUGGAAUUUUCCACCAUUACUUAGAAUGUUGGCUUGGACAUCAUUGGAUGAAGGGGACUGCACUCUCAAAGUGUAAUCGUGAGUUAAGGGACUGCUUACAUUGAGGUUUUUUCUGUUACUGUACUUUCCAGCAGGCUCCAAAGAAGCUCCUUAAUGCGACGACUCUAACUCGCCCUUGAGUCACCUUCCCCAGCACUUGGACCUGACUGGCGAAUCCUUCCCUGGCUGAAAGGCUGGAGCGUUCAGUCAAUCCUCGGCUCGAGAGUAUCGAUUUCUGUCCGACGCAGCCUCGGGAUUUGUACGAAGCGCAACAGAUAGUGAUGGGGAGACGUUCUCCAACUGCUGCUGGCCCCCUGGCCGUGGAAGGAGACAACCACCGCUCCUAAUUUCUCGUGGGAUGUGGUUAAAGAUUAAAGAACUCGAGAUUGUAAAAAAAAAAAAAAUUUGACUUGUUCUACAUCGUUGAAAUUCUACCCAUCUGUACUCCAUGGAUUACAACGUGCAGCUAGUCUUCCAGUCAGUGAUGGCUUCUGCUGCAAGGCUUCUCCCCGAAGUUCCGUGUUGUGACUGAGGCGUUUUUGCAACAUGUUCAGCGUGGAUGACCUCCUGCUUGCCCACGGCUACCAGCUGCCGAGGAGGAGUCCAGUGGAGCAGCCCGCGUCCACCUCCUCUGCCUCCUCCUCCUGCUCUGACCGCAGCCUGGAGGCAGGGUGUCGGCGCAGCUCGGGUCGCGAUGCCGUCAACGUGAGCCAGAGGGACAGAGACAGAGACAGUGUUCCAGAGCCGGCUCUGCUCCCUCUCUCGUCCCAGCAGACCCGGUAAGUGAAC